CCCCCAAUCUCAUAUCCUUGUCACACUACAAAAUACAAUGAUGCCUUCUGUACAGUCCCCCAAAUUCUUAACUCAUUCCAGCAUUUACUGAAAUGCCCAAAGCCCAGAGUCUCAUCUGAGGCAAGUCUACAGUCCCUUCUGCUCAUGAGCCACUGAAUUACAUAUAAAGCAAGUUUACUACUUCCAAGGUGCAAUGAUUGUACAGGCGUUGGGUAAGCAUUCCCAGCCAAAAGGAAAAAAAUUGCCAGAAAGAAGCACAAAAAACAGAUGGGGCUUACAGACCCCAUGCAAGUCAAAAACCCAGCAGGCCAGUCAUUGAAUCCUACAGCUCCCAAAUCAUAUUUUCUGAAUCUGUAUCCCACAUCUGGAGCACAGGGGUGGAUAGCUGGGCUCCCAAGGCCUUGGGCAGCUCAGCAUCUGUGACUGUGCAGGGUCUAUCCCCCACAGGUGACCUCAUGGGCUGGGCUGGUGUUGAGUGCCUGUGGCUUUUCCACACUGAGGGUGCCAGCAGUUGGCGGGUCUAUGAAUCUGGGGUCUGGAAAAUGGUGCAUUCCUGUGUGGGCGCUACAACCCUAUAUGUUCCUUCUGUACUGCCCUAGUAAAUGUUUCCCAUGAGGCUCUGCCUCUUGGAAAAGCUGCUGCCUCAACACCCAGGUUUUCCCAUACAUACUCUGGAGUCUAGACAAAGGCUCCCAAGCCUCUAGUUUUGUGCUCUGUGCACCUGCUGGCUUAGUACUAUGUGGAAGCCACCAAGGUUUGAAGCUUGCACCCCUGAAGCAGUGAUGCAAGCUGUACCUGUGCAUCUUUCAGCCGUGACUGGAGCUGGAGCUGGAGCUGGAGCUGCAGGGAUGCAGGCAGCAGUGUCCUGAGGAUGAACACAGCAACGCGACCAUGGGACUCACCCAGGAAAGCAUUCUUGGGUCCUAGAACUCGGGGCCUGUGACAGCAAGCUCUGCUGCAAAGGUCUCUGAAAUGGCUUCAAGACCUUUUAACCUUGUCUUAGCUAUUAGCACUGGGCUCCAUUUUAUGCAAAUUUCUGAAGCCUUCUUGAACUUUCCCACUGAUAAUAAGCUUUUCUUUUUGACCACUUGGCCAGGCUGCAAAUUUUCACAACUUUUAAUCUCUCCUUGUCAUUUAAAUAUGUUUCACCUUGAGGUCAUUUCUUUGGUCACAUAUUUUCAUGUGAGACCUUCUAAGCCUGGUGGUCACUGUCCAUCCUUAUGUCACCUUCUUAAUUAUAACUAUUUAACAAGUCUCUACACUGAUCCAAACUUUUCCUCAUCUUCCUGUCUUCUUCCAAGACCUCCAAACUCUCCAACCUCUGGC
rnacentral:lncRNA from 1 species